rnacentral:misc_RNA from 1 species
UGGCUCUGGCAUCGAUGAAGAACGCAGCGAAAUGCGAUAAGUAAUGUGAAUUGCAGAAUUCAGUGAAUCAUCGAAUCUUUGAACGCACAUUGCGCCCGCUAGUACUCUAGCGGGCAUGCCUGUCCGAGCGUCAUUACAACCCUCAAGCCCUGCUUGGUGUUGGGGCCCUACGGCUGCCGUAGGCCCCGAAAGUUAGUGGCGGGCUCGCUAAGUCUCCGAGCGUAGUAGAAUCCUAUCUCGCUAGGGACGGCUUGGCAGGCUCCGGCCGUUAAACACCCUUAUACCAAAGGUUGACCUCGGAUCAGGUAGGAGUACCCGCUGA